UACAGAGGGUGCGAGCGUUGUCCGGAAUCACUGGGCGUAAAGGGCGCGUAGGUGGUGGCUUAAGCGUGCGGUGAAAGCUCGGGGCUCAACCCCGAGUCGGCCGUGCGAACUGGGCUCACUGGAGCAUAGUAGAGGCAGGUGGAAUUCCUGGUGUAGCGGUGAAAUGCGCAGAUAUCAGGAGGAACACCAAUGGCGAAGGCAGCUCGCUGGGACGGUACUGACGCUGAGACGCGAAAGCGUGGGGAGCAAACAGG
rnacentral:rRNA from 1 species